rnacentral:rRNA from 1 species
GACGAACGCUGGCGGCGUGCCUAAUACAUGCAAGUAGAACGCAGUUGCGAACGGGUGAGUAACGCGUAGGUAACCUGCCUAAUAGCGGGGGAUAACUAUUGGAAACGAUAGCUAAUACCUCCUAUUGUGAGAUGGACCUGCGUUGUAUUAGCUAGUGGGUGAGGUAAAGGCUCACCAAGGCGACGAUACAUAGCCGACCUGAGAGGGUGAUCGGCCACACUGGAACUGAGACACGGCCCAGACUCCUACGGGAGGCAGCAGUAGGGAAUAUUGCACAAUGGGCGAAAGCCUGAUGCAGCCAUGCCGCGUGUAUGAAGAAGGCUUUCGGGUUGUAAAGUACUUUUAGCGGGGAGGCGGUACCCGCAGAAGAAGCACCGGCUAACUCCGUGCCAGCAGCCGCGGUAAUAC